rnacentral:rRNA from 1 species
GAAUAUAUUUGCCGGAGGUAAAGCACUGAAUAGACGAGGGGUCGAGAGACUACCAACUCUUAUCAAACUAAGAAUGCCGGACAAAUGAGUUCAGGAGUCAGACUGUGUGAGAUAAGUCUCACGGUCGAAAGGGAAAAAGCCCAGACCCACAGCUAAGGUCCCAAAUGAACGCUAAGUGGAGAAGGAUGUGACAAUGCUAAGACAACCAGGACGUUGGCUUAGAAGCAGCCACUCAUUCAAAGAGUGCGUAAUAGCUCACUGGUCGAGUGAUGUUGCGCCGAAAAUUUAACGGGGCUAAGCGUCCAACCGAAGCUUGGGAUGUACAAUGUACGUGGUAGGGGAGCGUUGUGUAAAGGGUGAAGCGAUACCGGAAGGAGUCGUGGACAUUACACAAGUGAGAAUGCCGGAAUGAGUAGCGAGAAUUGCGUGAGAAUCGUAAUGGCCGAAAAUCUAAGGUUUCCGGGGGUAGGUUCGUCCUCCCCGGGUUAGCCGGGAGCUAAGGCGAGGCCGGAAGGCGUAGUCGAUGCACAAACGGUAGAGAUUCCGUUGCCGUACGAACUUAAGUAUACUGACACGAGCGCAGACUCCAUCCCGGGCGAUGGUCGCCCCGGGCGAAAGGGACUGAAAUUAUAGUAAGGAAGUGGAGAAAGCGAGCGGCGAGAAAAGGUAUAUGUAUGUAAUCGUGCGCCCGUACCGCAAACCGACACAGGUAGAUGAGGAGAGAAUCCUAAGGCCAUCGGGAGAAGGGUUGUUAAGGAACUCGGCAUAUUGACCCCGUAACUUCGGAAGAAGGGGUGCCUGCAGCAAUGCAGCCGCAGUGAAAAGGCCCAGGCGACUGUUUAACAAAAACACAGGUCUCUGCAAAAGCGAAAGCUGAAGUAUAGGGGCUGACGCCUGCCCGGUGCCGGAAGGUCAAGGGGAAUGCUUAGAGCAAUCGAAGGCAUGAACUUAAGCCCCGGUCAACGGCGGCCGUAACUAUAACGGUCCUAAGGUAGCGAAAUUCCUUGUCAGGUAAGUUCUGACCCGCACGAAUGGCGUAACGAUCUGGGCACUGUCUCAACAGCCCGCCCGGCGAAAUUGUAGUACCGGUGAAGAUGCCGGUUACCCGCGACUAGACGGAAAGACCCCAUGGAGCUUUACUGUAGUUUGAUACUGAAAUUCGAUUCAUUAUGUACAGGAUAGGUGGGAGACUGAGAAACAGGGUCGUCAGGUUCUGCGGAGUCAACCUUGGGAUACCACUCUUGAUGAAUCGGGUUUCUAACCUGCUCCCUUGAAUCAGGGAGGGGGACAAUGUCAGAUGGGCAGUUUGACUGGGGCGGUCGCCUCCAAAAGAGUAACGGAGGCGUACAAAGGUCGGCUCAGCGCGGUUGGAAAUCGCGCAAUGAGUAUAAACGUAUAAGCCGGCCUAACUGCAAGACCUACAAGUCGAGCAGUAACGAAAGUUGGUGUUAGUGA